rnacentral:rRNA from 1 species
UACGAAGGGGGCUAGCGUUGCUCGGAAUGACUGGGCGUAAAGGGCGCGUAGGCGGAUGGCACAGUCAGAGUGUGAAAUUCCCGGGCUUAACCUGGGGGCUGCAUUUUGAUACGUGUGAUCUAGAGUGAGGAAGAGGGUCGUGGAAUUCCCAGUGUAGAGGUGAAAUUCGUAGAUAUUGGGAAGAACACCGGUGGCGAAGGCGGCGACCUGGUCCUUGACUGACGCUGAGGCGCGAAAGUGUGGGGAGCGAACAGG